UCAAGUUAUUAAGGGCGCAGGGCGGAUGCCUUGGCACUAAGAGCCGAUGAAGGACGUGAUAAGCUGCGAUAAGCUUCGGGGAGUUGCACGUAAACUUUGAUCCGAAGAUUUCCGAAUGAGGAAACUCACUUAGAGUAAUGUCUAAGUAUCGUUAAGUGAAUACAUAGCUUAGCGAGGGGAACCCGGGGAACUGAAACAUCUAAGUACCCGGAGGAAAAGAAAGAAAUUCGAUUCCGUAAGUAGCGGCGAGCGAACGCGGAACAGCCCAAACCAGUGAAGUUUUCUUCGCUGGGGUUGCGGACACAUCAUCAACGAAGAGGUAUCGUAAACGAAGAGAGUUGGAAAGCUCCGCUAUAAAGUGUAAUAGCCACGUAGUUGAAACGAAACAAUAUCUAGUGUGAUCCAGAGUACCACGGGACACGUGAAACCCUGUGGGAAGCAGGAGGGACCAUCCUCCAAGGCUAAAUACUACUUAGUGACCGAUAGCGCAUAGUACCGUGAGGGAAAGGUGAAAAGAACCCCGGGAGGGGAGUGAAAUAGAACCUGAAACCCUGCGCUUACAAGCUGUGGAAGCACUUUUUAUGUGUGACCGCGUACUUUUUGUAGAACGGGCCAACGAGUUACGAUAGUAAGCUAGGUUAAGUACUUAAGGUAUGGAGCCGUAGUGAAAGCGAGUCUUAAAUGGGCGUUAAGUUUGCUGUCGUAGACCCGAAACCGAGCGACCUACCCAUGAGCAGGAUGAAGCGAAAGUAAAAUUUCGUGGAGGUCCGAACCCACGAGCGUUGAAAAGCUCGGGGAUGACUUGUGGGUAGCGGUGAAAUUCCAAUCGAGCUCGGAGAUAGCUGGUUCUCCCCGAAAUAGCUUUAGGGCUAGCCUCAAGGUUGAGAAAUACGGAGGUAGAGCACUGAAUAUCCUAGGGGGCAUUGCGCUUACCGAAGAUUAUCAAACUCCGAAUGCCGUUAUUUUAUACUUGGGAGUCAGACUGUGGGUAAUAAGAUUCAUAGUCGAGAGGGCAACAGCCCAGAUCGUCAGCUAAGGUCCCUAAAUGUAAGUUAAGUGGUAAAGGAUGUGGGAUUGCAUAGACAACCAGGAUGUUGGCUUAGAAGCAGCCACUCAUUUAAAGAGUGCGUAAUAGCUCACUGGUCGAGUGAUCCUGCGCCGAAGAUUACCGGGGCUAAAACUUACUACCGAAGCUACGAUAUCAUUUAUGAUAGGUAGGGGAGCUUCCUAUGCAGGCUGAAGCAUGACCGUAAGGACGUGUGGACAGUAUAGGAGUGAGAAUGUUGGCAUGAGUAGCGAGACGUGGGUGAGAAUCCCACGGGCCGUAAACCCAAGGUUUCCAGGGGAAGGUUCGUCCGCCCUGGGUUAGUCGGGACCUAAGCCGAGGCCGAAAGGCGUAGGUGAUGGACAACAGGUUGAGAUUCCUGUACCACCAAUAAUCGUUUGAGAGAUGGAAUGACACAGUAGGAUAAGCUAACCACACUGUUGGUUAUGUGUGGCUAAGUACUGAGGCAGUCAAGGUAGGCAAAUCCGCCUUGAUAAUGCUGGGGUACGAUGGGGAGCGAAAUUAAGUAGCGAAGUAGCUGAUUUCACACUGUCGAGAAAAGUUUCUAUCGAGAUUAAAGGUGCCCGUACCGCAAACCGACACAGGUGGGUGAGGAGAGUAUCCUAAGGCCAGCGAGAGAACUGUUGUUAAGGAACUCGGCAAAAUGACCCCGUAACUUCGGGAGAAGGGGUGCCACGUUAGGGUUCACGCCCGAGGUGGCCGCAGAGAAUAGGCCCAAGCGACUGUUUACCAAAAACACAGGUUUCUGCUAAGUCGCAAGACGAUGUAUAGGAGCUGACGCCUGCCCGGUGCUGGAAGGUUAAGGGGAUCUGUUAGGACUUGUCCGAAGCAGUGAACUUAAGCCCCAGUAAACGGCGGCCGUAACUAUAACGGUCCUAAGGUAGCGAAAUUCCUUGUCGGGU
rnacentral:rRNA from 1 species